rnacentral:rRNA from 1 species
UACGUAGGGUGCGAGCGUUGUCCGGAAUUACUGGGCGUAAAGAGCUCGUAGGUGGUUUGUCGCGUUGUCCGUGAAAACUCACAGCUCAACUGUGGGCGUGCGGGCGAUACGGGCAGACUGGAGUACUGCAGGGGAGACUGGAAUUCCUGGUGUAGCGGUGAAAUGCGCAGAUAUCAGGAGGAACACCGGUGGCGAAGGCGGGUCUCUGGGCAACAACUGACGCUGAGGAGCGAAAGCGUGGGGAGCGAACAGG